rnacentral:rRNA from 1 species
GUGCACGCUGGCGGUAGGCCUAACCCCUGCACGUCGCACGGCAGCACAGUAAGAGCUUGCUCUUACGGGUGGCGAGUGGCGGACGGGUGAGGAAUACAUCGGAAUCUACUUUUUCGUGGGGGAUAACGUAGGGAAACUUACGCUAAUACCGCAUACGACCUACGGGUGAAAGCAGGGGAUCUUCGGACCUUGCGCGAUUGAAUGAGCCGAUGUCGGAUUAGCUAGUUGGCGGGGUAAAGGCCCACCAAGGCGACGAUCCGUAGCUGGUCUGAGAGGAUGAUCAGCCACACUGGAACUGAGACACGGUCCAGACUCCUACGGGAGGCAGCAGUGGGGAAUAUUGGACAAUGGGCGCAAGCCUGAUCCAGCCAUACCGCGUGGGUGAAGAAGGCCUUCGGGUUGUAAAGCCCUUUUGUUGGGAAAGAAAAGCAGCAGGUUAAUACCCCGCUGUUCUGACGGUACCCAAAGAAUAAGCACCGGCUAACUUCGUG